rnacentral:rRNA from 1 species
UACGUAGGGUGCGAGCGUUGUCCGGAAUUAUUGGGCGUAAAGGGCUCGUAGGCGGUUUGUCGCGUCGGGAGUGAAAACCUCGGGCUUAACUCGGGGCUUGCUUUCGAUACGGGCAGACUGGAGGUAUGCAGGGGAGAACGGAAUUCCUGGUGUAGCGGUGAAAUGCGUAGAUAUUGGGAAGAACACCGGUGGCGAAGGCGGCUAUCUGGACCGACAUUGACGCUGAGGCGCGAAAGCGUGGGGAGCAAACAGG